rnacentral:tRNA from 1 species
GUGGGUAUAGCUCAGUGGUAGAGCCCAUGCUUAGCAUGUAUGAGGUCCUGGGUUCAAUCCCCAGUACCUCCA